UUCGACGGGGCCCGCACAAGCGGUGGAGUAUGUGGUUUAAUUCGAUGCAACGCGAAGAACCUUACCUGGUCUUGACAUCCCGGAGACCCUUAGGAAACUAGGGGGUGCUUCCAUCUGGAAGAAUCUGGAGACAGGUGCUGCAUGGCUGUCGUCAGCUCGUGUCGUGAGAUGUUGGGUUAAGUCCCGCAACGAGCGCAACCCUUGCCUUUAGUUGCCAGCAGUUCGGCUGGGCACUCUAAAGGGACUGCCGGUGUUAAACCGGAGGAAGGUGGGGAUGACGUCAAGUCCUCAUGGCCUUUAUGACCAGGGCUACACACGUACUACAAUGGCCGAUACAAAGGGCAGCGACACUGCGAGGUGAAGCCAAUCCCGUAAAAUCGGUCUCAGUCCGGAUUGGAGUCUGCAACUCGACUCCAUGAAGUUGGAAUCGCUAGUAAUCGUGGAUCAGCAUGCCACGGUGAAUACGUUCCCGGGCCUU
rnacentral:rRNA from 1 species